rnacentral:lncRNA from 1 species
AGAAGAAUUCUGGUGAAGAAGAAGAAAAGAGGAAAGCAAACAGAAAGAAGAAAAUAUUUUGGGUCGGAAAUGUAACAUGCUAUACUACAUGUCAUUUUGCUCUCUAUUUUCUUUGCUUCUUUUAGUUUCCUACUCCGUGUAGGUUUUAUUACAGAUUUUUCUUUCAAAUAUAUUUAUGUAUUUUUCUCAGAUUUGUAUUGAUAAAAAGGAGAAGGCGGAGUGAGCGAGAAUAUGUGGGAAGGGGAGUUUCCAGCAGAAUUAUUAGCAGACCAGAAUUUCAGUUUGAAUAUCCCAAAUCGUUACACAGUUCAGUUGCAAUCCACAAUGGAAGCACGGAGCAGCGUCCCUGAAACUGUUAUACAAAAUAGCACUAUUUUCGUUUACUACUAAAACAGCUUCUGCGGAGGAUAAAGAAAAAUGUAUUUCUAAUCAAGGAAAAAGAAAUCAUUUUUACCUAAUCAGACGAGGAUUAAACCAUAAGACGAGGCUAAGUGAGGAGAUUAUGAACUUAAAAAUGAAAUUCUAUUCCAACAUGUAUCAGACUAACAACGAAACACUUUUAAUUUAUAUGAACCUUCCGACUGUGGUAUGUGAAGGAACAUGAAGAUACAAAGUGUCAAAUCUUUGAAAUAAAAAUGGAAGGAAAACCAAAACGUUAGCCAACAGGGCAUAUUGAUAAAAGACAUAAUGUUGAGAAAUAUAUAUAUAUAUAUAUAUAGAAAACACAUAAUGCACGGUAAUAAAAACGCAAAUGACUGACAUUUUAAAGGCGAUUACUUGAAAGCAUGAGUUCUGUGGACAGUAAACGUCAGCGAUUCAUUGUGUUGAAGUAAAUACAGAAAUGAUCGCUUAAUGAUUUCAAUGGCAGAGAAGUGUUUUGAAAAUAACAUUGAUAAUACUUACUAUAAAUUAUACGAAAAACGCUGAAUGGUUUGCAACGGGCGCUGCUCCGGACAUUGAAUUCUAGUUCAGAUACAGUUCUGCGGUCAUUUCGUUAGCGGCUCCCAUUAAAAAAAAAAGGUGUUAAUCAACGAAACAACUUUCGAAGCUACGUAAGUGAUUUGAAACUUUAUUUCUUGUUUUCUAGAAUUUAUUUUUUGAUUUAUUUAUAUUUAUUUAUUAAUAAUUUUAUUCAAUCGUUUAGUUUCUUUAUCCUAUCGCUUGCUUGGGUUUCUCUAAAAUUGUUUACACCAUCAUUCGUUAUUUCGACUUUCAUUAAUUUGUAUCAUAAUUACUGCUGGAGAUAUUUCAAAUAUUCGUAACUUUAAUUAUUCAACUUAUUAGCGAGAUUCACAGUUAUAAGAUAUGAAAAUAUAUUCUAUAUAUAAUAAUAUUUAUAUAAUAACUACACAAAUAGAAUCGUUAUAAUGAUACUUAUUUGUAGCGUAAGAUUAACCAAUGCUAGUGAUAAAAAGAAAAGCUUUUACUUUUAAAAAUAAGCAUGAGGUAGGCGAUUUUGUUUUCAUAUGUAACAAAUAAUGUUUUGCACCACACACACACACACACACACACACACACAUAUAUAUAUAUAUGUAUGUAUGUAUGUAUGUAUGUAUGUAUGUAUGUAUGUAUGUAUGUAUUUAUGUAUGUAUGCGUGCGCUUGUGUUUGUGCUUGUAUUUAUAUUCUUUGUGUUGGGACAGAUCUGGCAGCUCUGUGUGCAGGGAUUUCCCACUGGAGUCCCACAUGAAAAUGAGGAGUGAAAUUAGCUAAAGUGUUCUUCAGAAAAAUGGAGAAAUCAUUUUUAUCAGAUGAAGGCCAGAAGUUACUUUUUAUGCUUGCCUCAAUAUAUUAAGUCUACCCAAGUCUGAAACAGGCAUCUUAUGAUAGACAGGAAUAUACUGAAAGGAUUUUGGCACAGGCUUUGAGGCGUAUAUUAAACAGCAUUUGACAGCAUUUUACACCUAUGAACAAAGCGAUGUGUACAUGGGCUCUCUAUGUAUGGAAGCUUGUCUCAUGAAAUAUCACAGGUAUUCAGCUAAUAAUCCCAUCUGCCUUCACAAUUUGAGGUCUGAAAUGUAACAAUCGACAAAAUCAAUUUUAUGAUUUCACAAAAAGCACAAUAUUAUUCUUUAGACAUCAUAAUUUUUAAUUAGAAAUAUUCCAUUUUGAACGGAAGAGAAUCUUCUUAAUAACUAAGACGAAAAGUUUGUGGCUUACUGUGAAAUCGAAUGGCAUUCUCAAACAUCUAGUUAAAGGAAAUGGCAAAAAAAAUAUGUGCUGUUGAAAUACAAUAUGGCUUGCACAGUCAAUAAUAACAUUUCCAAAGACUUAUUUAUCAUCUCUAUUAAGCCACAUAUGUUCAAAUGCCGAUAUUUGUGUGUGUGCGUGGAUACAUAUUUGCAUAUCUGCAUGUACACACACACACACACAUGUAGUUGUUCAUACAUAUAACUACAAACAUUUAUAUAUUAGAUCAUCUCAUAAAUAAUGUUCUUUUUAUAAUUCCUGAUGUUUUCAAAUUUAAGAUAAAUAAAGUUCAUUUUUAUGUAAAAUAUACUU